ACGUGCACUGGCUGGAGUGUUUCCGGCAUUACAACAUUGAUUAUACUUCAUUGGCUGUGUUGUGACAGGUUGUGACAGGCACUUAUAAAUCCAUCCUUUUUCCCCCACCUUUCUUUCACCGAAGGAGUUUACUCUUGCUGAGGAACAGCGACAGGAACCACAGCUAACUUCUUGAGUGAAUGGGAAUAGUAUCUACCAGCUUUUCGACUGUGGAGGGCGUUUACAAUUUGAUGUCCACGAGUGUAGAUUCCCAGCAGGAUUCACUGGAUGCCACUCAAAAGCCAUGGUUGAUUUUCUCCGUCCUCAUAUUGGGGUUGUGAGCAUGUUCCCCUCAUCAUUUUGAAGAAGAAGGGGCUGAUCGAGCAUGAGGUCCCAAAGGAGCGAAGCAAGCUGAUCUGAGAAAAUAGUGGAUCUGAACGGGAGCCAAUUUGGCCGGAGGUCAGUCAGCGUGAUGAUACUGUGCGUGGGCUAUCCGUGUUUUCCUACUCCUUUCCCAGGAAUAGAAUUGUUGACCCUUUACUGAAACCUUCAUUCUGAGUUUUUUUUCCCCACCUGUAAGCAUUGAGGAGUUUCAAUUUUGUGUGUUUGGCAUUUUUUCAUAAUAAAAUUUGCACCGUCUUUGUGCACGUUUUUA